AAGUCGUAACAAGGUUUCCGUAGGUGAACCUGCGGAAGGAUCAUUACCUAGAGUUGUAGGCUUUGCCUGCUAUCUCUUACCCAUGUCUUUUGAGUACCUUACGUUUCCUCGGUGGGUUCGCCCACCGAUUGGACAAACUUAAACCCUUUGCAGUUGAAAUCAGCGUCUGAAAAAACUUAAUAGUUACAACUUUCAACAACGGAUCUCUUGGUUCUGGCAUCGAUGAAGAACGCAGCGAAAUGCGAUAAGUAGUGUGAAUUGCAGAAUUCAGUGAAUCAUCGAAUCUUUGAACGCACAUUGCGCCCCUUGGUAUUCCAUGGGGCAUGCCUGUUCGAGCGUCAUUUGUACCUUCAAGCUCUGCUUGGUGUUGGGUGUUUGUCUCCUGUAGACUCGCCUUAAAACAAUUGGCAGCCGGCGUAUUGAUUUCGGAGCGCAGUACAUCUCGCGCUUUGCACUCAUAACGACGACGUCCAAAAGUACAUUUUUACACUCUUGACCUCGGAUCAGGUAGGGAUACCCGCUGAACUUAA
rnacentral:rRNA from 1 species